GUACGGCGGCCCUGGACUCGGCUCCGAGAGAGAACCACCUCUUGGCCCUGAGCAGGGGCUGGGUGGAGCCGGCCCUCGGCCCUCGCAGAGGGUGUUGGUGCCUACCUUUUUACCUUGUUUAGAAUUCGGCUGUCAGAGGCACUUCCUGACCUCUCUUUUUCUUGUGCUUUUGGAUCUUAACCUUGAUGGGCUCUUCAGCGAAGUCUUAGCUGCCUUUCAGAGGAGAAGGUGAUUAAUGUUAAUAUAAUGUGGAUCUUUUUUCUUCAAUCUUAAAAAGUUGUUUAAAAGAAGAUUAUAAGAGGGGAGCUAUUAUUUGCAAAAGCAUGUUUAUUUUAACUGAACUGUGACUCACGUUACUAGAUAAAAUUUAAAACUUACGAUGAAAACUUUCAAAUAUUCAUAAAAACGUAAUGAACCUUUAUACUUAAAUUUAAUAACUUCAUAUACUUAAAUUUAAUGAUUUUAUUAUGUUUAUUUUUUAUAUGUUUGCUGCUCUGUUUUAAAAUAGAUUCUGGGAUACCAAAC
rnacentral:lncRNA from 1 species